CCGAGCAAUUGAAGUCUUUGGGAUUGUGAUCCCCGAGCACCUAGGUGAGGCUUGUGUCCUCAGCUGUAACGGUUUGUUAAGCACCCGUAAGCUUGACAGGUUUAGUGGAAAUCUCGAGAGAGUCUCUCGGGGACUGGACUAACCACGUUUGUGGCCAACCAGGAUACAUCUUUGUGUAAGUUUAUUCUACUGCACUUGUUUUAAUUUCUGCAAAGUUUUUAACUUCCGCACUAAAACGCUUAAUAUUUUUAAAACGCUAUUCACCCCCCCCCCUCUAGCAUAGAGCGUUAUUUCUAACAAUUCUCACUUAGUCAAAUAUGCGAAACGGCGUUGUCUUCUAGCAACGUUGGUGAAUGAUUGGUCUAAGGAGAGAGAUGAGCUUGCACAUAAAAUUGAUAAUUUUGGCUUGGCUGUGC
rnacentral:lncRNA from 1 species